UCCGAGUUGUCCCCGGCAGUCCCCUUAGAGUCCCCGGCAUUACCCGCUGGCAACUAAGGGCAGGGGUUGCGCUCGUUGCGGCACUUAAGCCAACACCUCACGGCACGAGCUGACGACAGCCAUGCAGCACCUGUGCUGGCCCCGAAGGGCUGCCGUAUUUCUACGACAUUCCAGUGCAUGUCAAGCCUUGGUAAGGUUCUUCGCGUUGCAUCGAAUUAAACCACAUGCUCCACUGCUUGUGCGGGUCCCCGUCAAUUCUUUUGAGUUUCACCCUUGCGGGCGUACUCCCCAGGCGGCAUACUUAACGCGUUUGCUACGGCACAACCGGGGUUGAGUCCGGUUACACCAAGUAUGCAUCGUUUACGGCUAGGGCUAC
rnacentral:misc_RNA from 1 species